AUUGAACGCUGGCGGCAGGCUUAACACAUGUAAGUCGAGCGGGGUGAUGGUGCUUGCACUAUCACUUAGCGGCGGACGGGUGAGUAAUGCUUAGGAAUCUGCCUAUUAGUGGGGGACAACAUCUCGAAAGGGAUGCUAAUACCGCAUACGUCCUACGGGAGAAAGCAGGGGAUCACUUGUGACCUUGCGCUAAUAGAUGAGCCUAAGUCGGAUUAGCUAGUUGGUGGGGUAAAGGCCUACCAAGGCGACGAUCUGUAGCGGGUCUGAGAGGAUGAUCCGCCACACUGGGACUGAGACACGGCCCAGACUCCUACGGGAGGCAGCAGUGGGGAAUAUUGGACAAUGGGGGGAACCCUGAUCCAGCCAUGCCGCGUGUGUGAAGAAGGCCUUAUGGUUGUAAAGCACUUUAAGCGAGGAGGAGGCUCUUUUGGUUAAUACCCAAGAUGAGUGGACGUUACUCGCAGAAUAAGCACCGGCUAACUCUGUGCCAGCAGCCGCGGUAACAC
rnacentral:rRNA from 1 species